AAUUUCGACUUGUAAGAAAUAAGGCCAUAUUUGAUUUUUAUUCAACAUAUAUGUGUUGUUCAUGAAGUGUUGAUGUGGAAAUAUGGAGGAAGGCCAAGGGAAAAAUUGAAAAUUUCGGAAAUUAGUUUCGGGAAUUACAAAAUAGGACCCAUAACUAAUUGGGCUAGAAAAAUCAAAAAAAAAAAAAAGGGAAACAAAAGGCCCAAAAAAAAUAGUAGUGGCCGGCCAUGGGCAACAAAUGGCCCAAGCCCAUAACUAAUUAAUUCAUGUAGCAAAUAAUAAAAAGGGCCACCAAGUCCUCUUUUUCAAGAAGUGUCAAGAAAGUUCAAGAAACAAAAGAAAGAGAUUGAGAGCAAAAGGGGAGGGUUCGGCUAGAGCAAGAAGAAGAAAAAAAAAAUUCUUGAAGCUCAAAUCUUUGAUGCAAAAAAUUAUUUCUUCUUGAAUUCCUACUAAGUUCAAGACCCUCUUCAAUGUGGUAUAAUUUUUUAGGCAAGAAAGUACUUUUUUUAUCAAGUGAAGAAUUUGAAGAAAAAGAUCUUGGAGAACCCGAGACUUGAGUCGGAAUUUGUCUAGCGAGUGAUCGGGAAUUGUUAGCGAGCGAUUGAGGUAUGUAAAGCCUACCUUUCUUUCUUUUGGCAUGACCUUUUUGGAAUGAACAAAUAAUGUAUAAGUAUACUCCUAAAGAAAAUCCUAUUCUUAGAGCCACUAGGAUGGCUAACACCUUUGACCUCCAUAAGCUAUUCCAUAUGGCUGGAUACAUAUUUUAUGAUGUUCAAAGAUUCUAUUUGUUCUGUUCCGAAUGUUGUUCGAAAGAAAAAUGAGAAGACUAAAGCCUUUGAUGAAUAUUUCGAUAUGAAAAUAUGGUCUUAAAGUCCCCAUUUGAUUUGAUCCAUAAUGUUAUCCGUAAGUUUCCUAGUAUGAAUAUGUGAUCCAUAAUGAUGUCCGAAAAAUAUUUGAUAUGGCUAAAGUUUUGGAUACAUAUAUUUUGAUACGUACAUAUGAUCUUAAAGGCUCCAUAGUAAUGGUUGAAAGUUCCUCUAAUAUGAAUGUCACUUGAAUUUCCGAAAAGAGCUUCUGAAAUGCUUUUAGAAAGUUCUAUACUUCAAAAGUUUGUAACUUUCGUAUACUAACUCCGAUUGACCCGAAACUGAUUUCUGAGCCUUCGGGUGUAGUAAAUAUAUUUGUUCAUCGAGUUUUGAAAUUUAUUUAUUUAUAUGCAUAUGGUUUCCGCACUACUCCGCUCGUGCCUACUACUAUGAUAUCGUUCGCCGGUUCCCGGGCCGGUUUUGUGAUCGUGCGCACUAUGUUAUAUUCGGCAGUAUGAUGUGUUACGGUUCCCGAGACCUCGCCAUAGGGCCGGUUCCGCUUAUAUACGGUGUUAUGAUGUGAUAUGGCAUAUGAUGUGUUCUGAUGAUGUGAUAUGUUUGAUGAUAUGAUAUGUUCGGGGAUUGUACGGAGAUUUGAAACCUUCUGGAGUAUGAUGUGUUGUGGCACCAGUGUCGGAGUGGCGACCACGUUCCUGAGCCUUAUGCAUGAUUUUAUUUGCAUUAUUUAUGUUUUUGAAACAGGUACAAACGUUCGUUCUGGUGACCCGCCAGUGUAGGAUUCCAUAUUCUGCUACUUUGGAGUGCUCCCUUUAAUCGGAGCCUACAUUUUGGUACAUAUCUUUCGUUGUACAUAUUUCUGUAUAUUUGACUAUAUGGGGUACGGCGGGGCCCUGUCCCGUCAUAUGUUUCUGUUAUGGUUUGUAGAGGCCUGUAGUCAUAUAUGUGGGUCAUGGGUCCGGUUUGUUCGUUUCUGUUUAUGAUCUGUGCCUUAAGCGGUCCCGGUUGCUGUUAUGGCCAAAACGGCCCAUAUGUUUGUAUAUCUGGGCGAUGUGUAUUCCGCCAGCCUACCGGAUUUGAUAUGAUAUUUCUGUACGGGCAACCGCUUAAGAUGACAUUUGUUCUUAGUAUCUGUUUGAAAUAACGUAUGAUGAGUUUGA